rnacentral:rRNA from 1 species
GAUGAACGCUGGCGGCGUGCCUAAUACAUGCAAGUCGAGCGAACAGACGAGGAGCUUGCUCCUCUGACGUUAGCGGCGGACGGGUGAGUAACACGUGGAUAACCUACCUAUAAGACUGGGAUAACUUCGGGAAACCGGAGCUAAUACCGGAUAAUAUAUUGAACCGCAUGGUUCAAUAGUGAAAGACGGUUUUGCUGUCACUUAUAGAUGGAUCCGCGCCGCAUUAGCUAGUUGGUAGGGUAACGGCUUACCACGGCAGCGAGGCGUAGCCGACCUGAGAGGGGGGUCGGCGGCGGGGGAGGGGAGACGGGGUCCAGAGGCCUGCGGGAGGCAGCAGUAGGGAAUCUGCGGCAAGGGGCGGAAGCGUGACGGAGCGAGGCGGCGUGAGGGAUGAAGGUGUUGGGAGCGGAAAACUCUGUUAUUAGGGAAGAACAAAUGUGGAAGUAACUAUGCACGUCUUGACGGUACCUGGUCAGAAAGCCACGGCUAACUACGUG